rnacentral:rRNA from 1 species
GACGAACGCUGGCGGCGUGCUUAACACAUGCAAGUCGAACGAUGAAGUUCCUUCGGGAAUGGAUUAGUGGCGAACGGGUGAGGAACACGUGAGAAACCUGCCUUUCAUUUUGGGAUAACUCCGGGAAACCGGGGCUAAAACCGAAUACUCCGUCUCGGCGGCAUCGCUGAGCCGGGAAAAAAUUUUGAUGAAAGAUGGUCCCGCGGCCUAUCAGCUAGUUGGUGAGGUAAUGGCUCACCAAGGCAAGGACGGGUAGCCGGCCUGGGAGGGCGACCGGCCACACUGGGACUGAGACACGGCCCAGACUCCUACGGGAGGCAGCAGUGGCGAAUAUUGGGCAAUGGGCGCAAGCCUGACCCAGCGACGCCGCGUGAGGGAUGAAGGCCUUCGGGUUGUAAACCUCUUUCAGUAGGGAAGAAGCGAAAGUGACGGUACCUAAAGAAGAAGCACCGGCUAACUAUGUGCCAGCCGCCGCGGUAA